CCGCCUGCCUCUGCCUCCCAAGCGCUGGGAUUAAAGGCGUGUGCUGCUACCACCCGGCUUAUGUUUUUAUUUUUAAACACCAAAAAACGUAGGUAAAUAGAAUGAGGCCACAUAACAAGAUUUGAGAAUGUACACAGCAGUCUACUGAAAGAUAGCAAAAUGCCAUCCAAGUUGUGCCAGCAAAGCUUUUGGGCAGAGCUGUGCUUAGCCAGGCAAAGAUCCCUCAGUCCAGGAAUUCCAGCCUCUCUCUUGUCCUAAAGAGACUGAAGUGAGGAAGAUUUGCUGUGAAUAGCCAACGUCACAGCCAUCAACGAAGGGAACCCUGGCUUCGGGCCUCUUUUUGUUUGCAGACAGUAAAUUUAAACCUUCGUCCCCCGCAGGACAACUCAAAGGCAACAAGUAACCUUGGCUACGGCUGCGGCUUGAGAAACACCCCACGUCCCCGCUUCUAUACUCGGCUUUAGAAAACUGGUUAUGUUGAAAGGGAAGAAAAAAAAAACAACUUUCCUUUGCCUAGGUUACUGACACCACCAUGCAGAGCUCGGCCUGCUCAGGGCGGAAACAAUGAGUCACAGAUGCCCAGGCCCAGGUGGCACACGAAAGAAUCGCAGCCAGGUUAACCCCUGCAGUCCCCGGCGCCGCAGAGCCGCAAUGCGCAGCCUUGAGUUUCCAGCCGGCAGGAGUCCUGGCCAGAGCGGGAGGAGCCUGGAAGCUGCGCGAAGCCCGGGCUGGAGAGGUGGCUCAGCAGUUAAGAACACUGGUGGCUCUUCCAGAGGACGGAUUCAAUUCGCAGCACCCACAGAGCGGCUCAUAACCCUCUGCAACCCCAGUCCCAGUGGGUCCAGCACCUGCUUCUGGCCUUUGUGGGCACUGCAUUCACGUGGUAUACAGAUGACAUACAUGCAGGCAAAGCACUUUAUGUGUACAUAAUGUAUAAAUUGUUCAUAUAUAAUAUUGAUCAUGUUUUCCCCUCACCUGUUGUAGGAUUUUAUUUUAUUUUUUUUUUUUUUUUGUAUUUUGUUUUUUAAGACAGGGUUUCUCUGUGUGUAGCCCUGGCUA